AACUUGGCAGAGAUGCCUUGGUGCCUUCGGGAACGCUGAGACAGGUGCUGCAUGGCUGUCGUCAGCUCGUGUUGUGAAAUGUUGGGUUAAGUCCCGNAACGAGCGCAACCCUUAUCCUUUGUUGCCAGCGAUUCGGUCGGGAACUCAAAAGGAGACUGCCGGUGAUAAACCGGAGGAAGGUGGGGAUGACGUCAAGUCAUCAUGGCCCUUACGAGUAGGGCUACACACGUGCUACAAUGGCGCAUACAAAGAGAAGCGACCUCGCGAGAGCAAGCGGACCUCAUAAAGUGCGUCGUAGUCCGGAUCGGAGUCUGCAACUCGACUCCGUGAAGUCGGAAUCGCUAGUAAUCGUGGAUCAGAAUGCCACGGUGAAUACGUUCCCGGGCCUUGUACACACCGCCCGUCACACCAUGGGAGUGGGUUGCAAAAGAAGUAGGUAGCUUAACCUUCGGGAGGGCGCUUACCACUUUGUGAUUCAUGACUGGGGUGAAGUCGUAACAAGGUAGGCGUAGCGAG
rnacentral:rRNA from 1 species